rnacentral:rRNA from 1 species
UACGAAGGGUGCAAGCGUUACUCGGAAUUACUGGGCGUAAAGCGUGCGUAGGUGGUUUGUUAAGUCUGAUGUGAAAGCCCGUGGGCUCAACCUGGGAAUUGCAUUGGAUACUGGCAGGCUAGAGUGCGGUAGAGGAGUGGCGGAAUUCCCGGUGUAGCAGUGAAAUGCGUAGAGAUCGGGAGGAACGAUCUGUGGCGAAGGCGGGCCAU